CCUGUAACUGUCAGUUUUAAAGUCGAACCCAAAGUGAAACAGAAUUCGUCUUGUUUUUUUAAUCUCAUCACUGACGACCACGAACAUGUGCGCCGGUGCACAGGAGGCCGACGUGGGAAGCCAGGAUGCCUCCAUCUGAGGAGGAAAGUGAUGACAUCUCAGCUUUUCUUGGCAAUCGACGCUGCAGGAUUGCAACAGAGGAGUAAGCGGUUACAUAUUCAGAAAAUGUCCAGGAUGAUCAAAACGUGGGAGUUUGUACAUCAGCUGUUUUCCUCUCUCUCUCUCUUCAGUGGAGUCAGCAGGUUCAUGCUGUGCCUGCAGUCUGGUGGCCAUGAG